rnacentral:rRNA from 1 species
UAGGGAAUCUUCCGCAAUGGGCGAAAGCCUGACGGAGCAAUGCCGCGUGAGUGAAGAAGGCCUUCGGGUCGUAAAACUCUGUUAUAAGAGAAGAAUAAAUUGUAGAGUAACUGCUACAGUCUUGACGGUAUCUUAUCAGAAAGCCACGGCUAACUACGUGCCAGCAGCCGCGGUAAUACGUAGGUGGCAAGCGUUGUCCGGAUUUAUUGGGCGUAAAGGGAGCGCAGGUGGUUUCUUAAGUCUGAUGUGAAAGCCCACGGCUUAACCGUGGAGGGUCAUUGGAAACUGGGAAACUUGAGUACAGAAGAGGAAUGUGGAACUCCAUGUGUAGCGGUGGAAUGCGUAGAUAUAUGGAAGAACACCAGUGGCGAAGGCGACAUUCUGGUCUGUUACUGACACUGAGGCUCGAAAGCGUGGGGAGCAAACAGG